rnacentral:rRNA from 1 species
GAUGAACGCUGGCGGCGUGCCUAAUACAUGCAAGUCGAGCGAACGGACGAGAAGCUUGCUUCUCUGAUGUUAGCGGCGGACGGGUGAGUAACACGUGGAUAACCUACCUAUAAGACUGGGAUAACUUCGGGAAACCGGAGCUAAUACCGGAUAAUAUUUUGAACCGCAUGGUUCAAAAGUGAAAGACGGUCUUGCUGUCACUUAUAGAUGGAUCAGCGCUGCAUUAGCUAGUUGGUAAGGUAACGGCUUACCAAGGCAACGAUGCAUAGCCGACCUGAGAGGGUGAUCGGCCGCACUGGAACUGAGACACGGUCCAGACUACUAAGGGAGGCAGCAGUAGGGAAUCUUCCGCAGUGGGCGAGAGCCUGACGGAGCAACGCCGCGUGAGUGAUGAAGGUCUUCGGAUCGUAAAACUCUGUUAUUAGGGAAGAACAUAUGUGUAAGUAACUGUGCACAUCUUGACGGUACCUAAUCAGAAAGCCACGGCUAACUACGUG